GCCAGUCAGUCGGCAGUGGGACGUUAGUUGAUAGGUGUCGCGCGCCCCUUGUAGUUAAACGGUCCCGGCUCACUGCCUCACAACAGUCUGUGAUCCACGACAAAUACACUCGUAUAGAUAGCGUCCUCUCUGUGUAUUGUAAGGUAAGUAUGGCCUCACAACCCCCGAGUAGCUGUUAACCCCGCCAUGGACAACAAGUCGGAACGGUGGACCGGCCACGAGCUGGCCCCGCUCUCCGGGAACGGAAACGUGCAGAUCGUGCUGACCCCCGCCGAGCCCACAGACGCUCCUCGGCGCGCCGCCUGGGACAACAAGAUGCAGUUCAUGCUGUCUAUCAUAGGCUACUCAGUGGGUCUCGGGAACAUCUGGAGGUUCCCCUAUCUCUGCCAGCAGAACGGUGGGGGUGCAUUUUUGAUACCAUUUUUUACGAUGCUGGUUCUGGAGGGCAUCCCUCUCUUCCUCAUCGAGCUCGGCAUCGGACAGAAGAUGCGACUGGGGUCUCUCGGGGUCUGGAACACGAUCCAUCCCUGGCUUGGUGGCAUCGGUAUUGCCUCCUGCACUGUCACCUUCUUCGUGGCCUUGUAUUACAACGUCAUCAUAACCUGGGUUUUCUACUACUUUUUUAACUCGUUUCGAAACCCAUUACCAUGGGCAAGCUGCCCCAAGUUUCCCAACGGUACGAUAGUUCCUGAGUGUGAGAAGAGUAGCGAGACGGCGUACUUCUGGUACCGCACCACUCUGGACAUAUCGCCCUCUAUGGAGGAGACGGGAGGACUCAAGUGGUGGAUAGUCCUGUGUCUCUUGCUAGCCUGGACUGUUGUGUUCUUCAUCACCAUGAAGGGCAUCCAGAGCUCUGGUAAGGUCGUCUACUUCACUUCUCUGUUCCCAUAUAUUGUGCUCACCAUAUUCUUCAUCCGUGGGAUCACUCUGAAAGGAGCAGGAGAAGGAAUAAAACAUAUGUAUAUGCCUAAGGUCGAUAAGUUAUUACAGCCUACCAUAUGGCUGGAUGCUGCCACCCAAGUAUUUUAUUCCUUCGGACUUGCGUUUGGAUCCCUAAUCGCUUUCGGGAGCUACAAUCCUCCCAAGAACCAUUGCGUAAGAGACGUCAUUCUUGUGUCCAUUUGUAACGCCUUCACCGCUAUUUAUGCCAGUAUAGUUGUCUUCACCAUCCUUGGGUUUAAGGCUGUCUCAAAUGUUGAUAAGUGUAUGGAAAGUAAUAAGCUGAAACUUGAAACUCUCGGAAUUCUUGAAGCACAAACAAGUAUGGAGCAAUAUGAACGAUAUAUGCUGAAAAUAUCAAAUGAGACGUUUUAUACUCAUCACUUGGAAAGGUGCAGUUUACAAGAACAGCUUGAUCAGGCAGCUGAAGGGACUGGUCUUGCAUUCAUAGUAUUCACUCAGGCCAUCGUGGAGUUGCCAGGUGCGCCUUUCUGGUCGGUCAUCUUCUUCCUCAUGUUGUUAUCCCUGGGAAUAGGCUCUCAGAUUGGGAUCCUUGAAGGGAUGCUGUGUACCAUAUUUGACAUAGAAUUGUUUAAGCGGAUCAGUAAACCUGUCCUGACAGCUUUUGUCUGUGGGAUUUGUUUUCUUGUGGGUUUGAUCUUCACAACAGGUGCUGGAGAGUAUUGGCUCAAGUUGUUCGACUCAUUCGCUGGAACCAUCGGCUUAGUCAUGAUUGCCUUCCUGGAAAUGGUGGCAGUCAUGUUUAUAUAUGGACACGAAAAGUUCACCCAGGAUAUUGAAGACAUGACGGGUUACAGACCAGGACUGUACUGGCAGAUCACUUGGAGGUUCCUUGCCCCUCUGAUCAUGUUCAGUAUUUUGACAUCAUCUAUCGCUUUCCGUAUCAUUGAAAAACCUACCUACCACGCCUGGGAUGCUGAUACAGGACAGACCAAGGAGACGCAAUACCCCGGGUGGGUGUUGAUCAUUGCAGUUUUGAUGAUCACUGCUAGUGUGAUACCUAUACUAAUUGUAUUCCUGUUACGUCGCUUCCAAUGCCUCAAAUACGACUUAGACAUACACCAAGGAGCCAUUCGACGUAUUGACACAACUGUGUCCACUAAAGAGAUGAUGACUGAUAUUGAUUUGUAAGCUGUGUGGAGAUGUAUGCUUAGUUCUGCGCUUUUUUAUUUGUAGUCAAAUUCGUUCUAAUUUCAUCGCCAGACUCACAAGAAGAGUUCCCUGAAGAAUCACAAGAAGAUAGCGAGGAGGAUGUCGGAAUGAACUGCAAUGAUCACGUCGGCAAGGCAUUUAAAAUGGAAGUUUUGGACUUUUAGCAUAAGAAAG
rnacentral:misc_RNA from 1 species